ACGAACGCUGGCGGCGUGCCUAACACAUGCAAGUCGAGCGGAAGUGUAGUAAUAUACUUUAGCGGCGGACGGGUGAGUAACACGUGGGCAACCUGCCUUAUACAGGGGGAUAGCCAACCGAAAGGUUGAUUAAUACCGCAUAACACUGAACUGUCACAUGACAGAUCAGUCAAAGGAGCAAUCCGGUAUAAGAUGGGCCCGCGCCCCAUUAGCUAGUUGGUGAGGUAACGGCUCACCAAGGCGACGAUGGGUAGCCGAUCUGAGAGGAUGAACGGCCACAUUGGAACUGAGACACGGUCCAGACUCCUACGGGAGGCAGCAGUGGGGAAUAUUGCGCAAUGGGGGAAACCCUGACGCAGCAACGCCGCGUGAGCGAUGAAGGCCUUCGGGUCGUAAAGCUCUGUCUUUGGGGACGAUAAUGACGGUACCCAAGGAGGAAGCCACGGCUAACUACGU
rnacentral:rRNA from 1 species